AAAUAGAUUCGUAUUUAUUUUCCUGGAGUUACCCCCUUCUUUGACUCUCAGCUUUAAAUUUCAGAAGAGAGAGAAGAGGAAGAAGGUGGCAGAGCCUGGUGAGAGGACACUAGAGAACAUGUCCUUGCUUCACAAUUUGGUUGCCAUAUAAACAUGAAUUGAGUAGAGCUUCCUGAGGUUGCACAGAGGGCUAAACUUCUGCUAGGACCAUGGGAAAAGGCUAGAGGGGCCAAUGGCCAAGAGGUGACCACUUCCAUAGAGGAAACACUCUGACCAGGCCCCACUAGGCACAAGGCCCUUUCUCCAGUGCUGUGUGGAGGUUGGAUUUGAAGAGGAGAAAGCUGGGAGCAAGAGACCAGUAGAGCUGUUGCCGUGGUACAGGGUUAAGCUUGGAUUCCUGGAUUUUAUGACUUUUAAGAAAUGUACCU